rnacentral:rRNA from 1 species
AAACCAACAGGGAUUACCUCAGUAACGGCGAGUGAAGCGGUAAAAGCUCAAAUUUGAAACCCUCGGGAUUGUAAUUUGAAGAUUUGGCAUUGGGAAAAGCUAACCCAAGUUGCUUGGAAUAGUGCGUCGUAGAGGGUGAGAACCCCGUGUGGCUAACCGUUUCCCAUGUAUUGCCUUAUCAAAGAGUCGAGUUGUUUGGGAAUGCAGCUCUAAGUGGGUGGUAAACUCCAUCUAAAGCUAAAUAUUGGCGAGAGACCGAUAGCGAACAAGUACUGUGAAGGAAAGAUGAAAAGAACUUUGAAAAGAGAGUGAAAUAGUAUGUGAAAUUGUUGAUAGGGAAGGGAAUGAGUGUAGCGUGGGUGAGGUUUCAGCGUUCCCUCGGGGACGUGUACUGCCAAACCCGAGUCAAGGAGUGGGAAAAAGGGGUUAUAAAUGCAAACUCUCGAGUCUGCACCUAACCCCCGCCCUCCACUCCUCGACAUAAUACACC